rnacentral:rRNA from 1 species
GACAGAGGGGGCAAGCGUUGCUCGGAAUUACUGGGCGUAAAGGGCGCGUAGGCGGGAUGGCAAGUCGGUCGUGAAAUCCUUCGGCUCAACCGAAGAACGUCGAUCGAUACUGCUGUUCUAGAGGGUUGCAGAGGAGACUGGAAUUCCCGGUGUAGCGGUGAAAUGUGUAGAGAUCAGGAAGAACACCCGUGGCGAAGGCGGCUCUCUGGAACGCAACUGACGCUGAGACGCGAAAGCGUGGGGAGCAAACAGG